AAGUCGUAACAAGGUUUCCGUAGGUGAACCUGCGGAAGGAUCAUUACCUAGAGUUGUAGGCUUUGCCUACCAUCUCUUACCCAUGUCUUUUGAGUACCUUCGUUUCCUCGGUGGGUUCGCCCGCCGACUGGACAAAACUUAAACCCUUUGUAAUUGAAAUCAGCGUCUGAAAAAACUUAAUAGUUACAACUUUCAACAACGGAUCUCUUGGUUCUG
rnacentral:misc_RNA from 1 species